CAACCUCUGCCUCCCAGGUUCAAGGGAUUCUCCUGCCUCAGACUCCUGAGUAGCUGGGAUUACAGGUGUGCGCCACCAGGUCCAGCUAAUAUUUGUAUUACUAGUAGAGACGGAGUUUCUCCAUGUUGUCCAGGCUGGUCUCAAACUCCUGACCUCAGAUGAUCCCCCCACCUCAGCCUCCCAAAGUGCUGGGAUUAUAGGCGUGAGCCACCACACCUGGCCAAGAAACAAUUUUUUAAUUAAAAUUAAGAAAAAUAUAUGAAUAUAUGAGGAGUGCUUAGCCUAGCACCUGGUACAUUCCAACUACCCCUUCAGAGUUCACCUUGUUUUCAUUUGAUAAGUUUGGGAUUCGAUCACAGUUACUGGAUCCCCAGGUCUCCCUGGCUCUCACUUUUCCUGAAGCGAACACGGAAAGUAACCUGCUGCCUUGCUGCAAUGGCAGCCAGAGGCGCUGUCCCUCCCCGUCCAUCUCAGUCUUGUUUUCCUUCCAGCCCCAUCCCAGGUCCAAGUUCCAGCAACACCAGGUUUUAGGCAGCAGAGUUCUAAGACAUGCCAGCUCCAGGGUGUCCUCAACCCACGUGGACAUCUCCCUGGGUCCGUGGUCCAGCGGGCGCCACCUUCUCAGUCCCGGUCUCUUCACAGCCCCAGGGUGCAGUGUUGUCUUGUAAGGCAGUGGGAGCAAUGGGCACCGCAGGGAACCCACAGACUGCGUCGUGUCUCAGAAGUUGCCAGGUCAGCUCCUCCAGUGACUCCUGUGUGUCCACAGGUCUCCAACUGGUUUGGCAACAAAAGAAUCCGGUAUAAAAAGAACAUGGGGAAGUUUCAAGAAGAAGCUACCAUUUACAUGGGUAAAACAGCUGCAGAUACCACCGAAGUUGGGGUCCCAGGGAACCAUGCCAGCUGCCUGUCAACACCCAGCUCCGGCUCCUCUGGACCCUUCCCGCUGCCCAGUGCUGGGGAGGCCUUCCUCACCCUGCGGACGCUGACCUCUCUCCAGCCUCCUCCUGGGGGAGGCUGCCUGCAGUCCCAGACCCAGGGUAGCUGGCGGGGUGCCACCCCCCGACCUGCAACUGCGUCACCUGCUGGAGACCCUGGCAGCAUCAACUCCAGUGUGUCUAAUUAAGUUUUGGGGAUAAGCAGGAAAGAGCACCGC
rnacentral:lncRNA from 10 species